rnacentral:lncRNA from 14 species
GUUAUCUUUGGAUGGGAAUGAAAGAGAGUGUUGUCUUCUUUCUCUCAUGACUCUAGGGGGAGACUAGAAGAUUAGUCUCAGCUAGACAAGUCAAUGGCUGAAGUUUGGUGAAAUGAAUCCUAUUUUUACUGUCUGUCCCUUGCUGCUGCUCAGGCUCCAGCUGAAGACACUGCAUGCUUAUUAACUUCAAGAGGGUUUCUGACUACAGAAGAUGAUAAAGAUCAAGAUCCUUAUUCUCAGGAGAUAGCCUUGAAAAAACCCAGAAGGAAGUCAGUAGGGAAAAUGCUACAUGGACAGAGGAGUCUUGAAAUAGAAAGCUGGUCCAGCAUUUCUAGGAGAUGACAGAAAUUUUUAACUAAGCUUUGCUGGAGAUGUUCAACUGGUUGGAACUAAGCCAUUUCCAGAAGAGGUGAAUCAGUGUCUAGCAAUUCACUAAACCACUUGUCCAAGUCCUGGUUGCUGAAAAUCUGUGCUGGUUGCUAAAAAUCUGCACUGGUUGCUAAAAAUCUGCAUUUCAUUGCCUUCCUGAGGGUAGAGUCCACCAGCACACACAAGUGCAUCCAGGGAGGCAGCUCUAAAAACUCGCUUAAGCUGAUUUCAGGCUCUCAGGAACCUCAUGUUUUCUUUCCUGACAGUUACAUCAAUCCACAUUCUGUUACAGGCUCUCAUCAGUUCCACUCCCGUGGCUGGGGAGAAGACCGGGUCUGGCAGUCCUGGAUAGAAAUGUUGUGUCGAUACAUAGAACAAGUCUGUUUCUCAUGAACCCAAUACCUGCUAGAGGAUAUUGAAUGGAAACAGGAAAAUGUUAUUUACAUUUUGCAAGAUGUAAAAAUAUCACAUCAGUACAUUGCAGAAGAAUAAAGCCAGAACAUCAGUGAAAAAAUACCUUUCU